rnacentral:rRNA from 1 species
AUACGUAGGUGACAAGCGUUAUCCGGAUUUACUGGGCGUAAAGGGCGUGUAGGCGGUCUUGCAAGUCAGAAGUGAAAUUCCUGAGCUCAACUCGGGCGCUGCUUCUGAAACUGCAGGACUUGAGUGCUGGAGGGGAUAGCGGAAUUCCUAGUGGAGCGGUAAAAUGCGCAGAUAUUAGGAGGAACACCAGUGGCGAAGGCGGAUUGCUGGGCCGUAACUGACGCUGAGGCGCGAAAGCGUGGGGAGCGAACAGGAUUAGAUACCCUGGUAGUCCACGCCGUAAACGAUGGGCGCUCGUCGUCGGCGGCAGACAGUCGGCGGCCAAGCGAAAGCGAUAAGCGCCCCACCUGGGGAGUACGGUCGCAAGGCUGAAACUCAAAGGAAUUGGCGGGG